UGGAGGUCUGAGAAGGUUGAACAGCUUGUGUGGUGCUGUUCCUAACUGGUUACAACCUCCGACAUUAACAAUCAAACCACUCAAUGAAGUGGCCCUGUCUAUGCUGAGCUUCAUUUGUGUGUUGUGAACAAAUG